rnacentral:rRNA from 1 species
GACGAACGCUGGCGGCGUGCUUAACACAUGCAAGUCGAACGAUGAAGCUAGAGCUUGCUCUGGUGAAUUAGUGGCGAACGGGUGAGUAACACGUGAGUAACCUGCCCCGAACUCUGGGAUAACUGCUGGAAACGGUAGCUAAUACUGGAUACGACCUACGAAGGCAUCUUCUGUAGGUGGAAAGAAUUUCGGUUCGGGAUGGACUCGCGGCCUAUCAGCUUGUUGGUGGGGUAAUGGCUCACCAAGGCGACGACGGGUAGCCGGCCUGAGAGGGUGACCGGCCACACUGGGAAUGAGACACGGCCCAGACUCCUACGGGAGGCAGCAGUGGGGAAUAUUGCACAAUGGGCGCAAGCCUGAUGCAGCAACGCCGCGUGAGGGAUGACGGCCUUCGGGUUGUAAACCUCUUUUAGUAGGGAAGAAGCGAAAGUGACGGUACCUGCAGAAAAAGCACCGGCUAACUACGUGCCAGCAGCCGCAGUAA